rnacentral:rRNA from 1 species
AACGAACGCUGGCGGCAGGCUUAACACAUGCAAGUCGAACGCCCCUCGGGGUUUUUGGCAGACUGGUGGGUAACGCGUGGGGACUUACCCUUUCCUGCGUUAUAUCUCCGGGAGACUGGACUUAAUACCGCAUAUGCCCUACGCUGGUAAUAUUUAUCGGGGAAGGAUUGUCCUGCGUUAGAUUAGCUGGUGGGUGGGAUAACGUCCUACCACAGCAACGAUCCAUAGCUGGACAGGGAGAAUGAUCAGAAACAGUGGGACUGAGACACGGCACAAACUCCUAAGGGAGGAAGGAGUGGGGAAGAUUGGAGAACGGGGGCAAGGAUGAUCCAGCCAUGCGGCGUGAGUGAUGAAGGCCUGAGGGUUGUAAAGCUCUAGCAGCGAUGAAGAUAAUGACGGUAGUAGGAGAAGAAGCCACGGCUAAAUACGUG